UACGUAGGGGGCAAGCGUUGUCCGGAAUUAUUGGGCGUAAAGCGCGCGCAGGCGGCUAUGUAAGUCUGGUGUAUAACCUCAGGGCUCAACCCUGGGUCGCACUGGAAACUGUGUAGCUUGAGUACAGAAGAGGAAAGUGGAAUUCCACGUGUAGCGGUGAAAUGCGUAGAGAUGUGGAGGAACACCAGUGGCGAAGGCGACUUACUGGGCUGUAACUGACGCUGAGGCGCGAAAGCGUGGGGAGCAAACACG
rnacentral:rRNA from 1 species